ACUUUUGGGCCCUCCACUACAGAAAGGAUGUGGACAAAUUGGAGAGAGUCUACCAGAGGGCAACAAAAAUAGGGCUGGAGCACAUAAUUUCUGAGAGGCUGAGGGAACUGGGCUUAUUUAGUCUGGAGAAGAGAAGACUGACGGGGGAUUUAAUAGCAGCCUUCAACUACCUGAAGGGAGGUUACAAAGAGGAUGGAGCUUGACUGUUUUCAGUGGUGACAAAUGACAGAACAAGGAGCAACGGUCUCAAGUUGCAGCAAGGGAAAUUUAGGUGGCUGCUACUAUGAAAGAAAGGACUGCUGGCCAAGAUGGAAGCUUGCAAGGAGGGAUGAUCUUGGAAAAGACUCAUUACAUCAAGUUUACCAUGCUAAUGCUAACAUGAUGCUGAUCAUGUUAAGUUUACCUUAACAAUGAAUACUUCAGCCUUCCACAUGUCACCUCCGGCUGUUUUUCUCACUUUAGUGCUAUCAACAUGAUACACGUGUUAUACCUUUAAGAAAAAGAUAAGUGUGACAAUGGAUAGUAGCCUAGCUGCAUACUAGGGGAGGAGGGAGGAUAUCAUGUAUGCAGAUUUAUGCUGUUAGCCCAUAGCUCUGUAUUUCUGGCUACAUUUUGGAUCUGCAGCCUUUCUACUAAGUUCAACUGCUCAAGUACUAGUGAAAACAGUAAGAAUCAGAGGUAGCAAAUUUAUACAAUUUCUGGAGUUUUCCAUCUAAGCUCAGUGAAUUGCUAUAGCAGUAACAAAGCUGUUUUCAUUCCAAUCUCUUCUUUCUUCCACAUACAGAAACAUUCACCUUUGGGACUGAAGUGUCAUAUAAAUGGACUCAGCCAGAGGUGAGCUCCCCGUACUCCUUUCAGGCAGAAAGGACUUAGUGCAAGCAGAAUGAGUUACGUAACAAGCUGAAGAGUUCUCCCCUUCCAUCUCCCUCUUUAAAAAAAAACCAACCAUAAAAAAACUGAUGUUUUCUCAGAAUCUGUCAAAUGACUAAAGUUUAUAAUUUCAAAGUUAAUGCUAUUUAGUCUCAGCAAGAAGUCUGUAUUUCAAGUUAUAUAAAGCACAAAUGCUUUUAAAACUGUGUGGUUGCAUGUGCAGGACUGUGCAUUAAUAAGAGAAAAUUCUGUUAUGCCAUUCA